UACGUAGGGGGCCAGCGUUGUCCGAAGUUACUGGGCGUAAAGAGCGCGUAGGCGGGCCUUUAAGUGAGUGGUGAAAGGCCGGGGCUCAACCCCGGCACUGCCGUUCAUACUGGGGGCCUUGAGUGUGGGAGGGGCGGACGGAAUUCUUGGUGCAGCGGUGAAAUGCGUAGAUAUCGAGAGGAACACCAGAGGUGAAGACGGGUUGCUGGGCCGACACUGACGCUGACAGCGCGAAAGCCAGGGGAGCAAACGGG
rnacentral:rRNA from 1 species